GCGGGGUACGAUGUCGACUUGGAGGUUGUGCCCUUGAGGCGUGGCUUCCGGAGCUGACGCGUUAAGUCGACCGCCUGGGGAGUACGGCCGCAAGGUUAAAACUCAAAUGAAUUGACGGGGGCCCGCACAAGCGGUGGAGCAUGUGGUUUAAUUCGAUGCAACGCGAAGAACCUUACCUGGUCUUGACAUCCACGGAAGUUUUCAGAGAUGAGAAUGUGCCUUCGGGAACCGUGAGACAGGUGCUGCAUGGCUGUCGUCAGCUCGUGUUGUGAAAUGUUGGGUUAAGUCCCGCAACGAGCGCAACCCUUAUCCUUUGUUGCCAGCGGUCCGGCCGGGAACUCAAAGGAGACUGCCAGUGAUAAACUGGAGGAAGGUGGGGAUGACGUCAAGUCAUCAUGGCCCUUACGACCAGGGCUACACACGUGCUACAAUGGCGCAUACAAAGAGAAGCGACCUCGCGAGAGCAAGCGGACCUCAUAAAGUGCGUCGUAGUCCGGAUUGGAGUCUGCAACUCGACUCCAUGAAGUCGGAAUCGCCAGUAAUCGUGGAUCAGAAUGCCACGGUGAAUACGUUCCCGGGCCUUGUACACACCGCCCGUCACACCAUGGGAGUGGGUUGCAAAAGAAGUAGGUAGCUUAACCUUCGGGAGGGCGCUUACCACUUUGUGAUUCAUGACUGGGGUGAAGUCGUAAAAAGGGUUAACCGAAAA
rnacentral:rRNA from 1 species